rnacentral:rRNA from 1 species
GAUGAACGCUGGCGGCGUGCCUAGUACAUGCAAGUCGAGCGAACAGACGAGGAGCUUGCUCCUCUGACGUUAGCGGCGGACGGGUGAGUAACACGUGGAUAACCUACCUAUAAGACUGGGAUAACUUCGGGAAACCGGAGCUAAUACCGGAUAAUAUAUUGAACCGCAUGGUUCAAUAGUGAAAGACGGUUUUGCUGUCACUUAUAGAUGGAUCCGCGCCGCAUUAGCUAGUUGGUAAGGUAACGGCUUACCAAGGCAACGAUGCGUAGCCGACCUGAGAGGGUGAUCGGCCACACUGGAACUGAGACACGGUCCAGACUCCUACGGGAGGCAGCAGUAGGGAAUCUUCCGCAGUGGGCGAAAGCUUGACGGAGCAACGCCGCGUGAGUGAUGAAGGUCUUCGGAUCGUAAAACUCUGUUAUUAGGGAAGAACAAAUGUGUAAGUAACUAUGCACGUCUUGACGGUACCUAAUCAGAAAGCCACGGCUAACUACGUG